UGGGGAAUCUUGGACAAUGGGGGCAACCCUGAUCCAGCCAUGCCGCGUGAGUGAUGAAGGCCUUAGGGUCGUAAAGCUCUUUCGCCUGUGAAGAUAAUGACGGUAGCAGGUAAAGAAACCCCGGCUAACUCCGUGCCAGCAGCCGCGGUAAUACGGAGGGGGUUAGCGUUGUUCGGAAUUACUGGGCGUAAAGCGCACGUAGGCGGACCAGAAAGUUGGGGGUGAAAUCCCGGGGGCUCAACCCUGGAACUGCCUUUCAUACUGGCGAUCUGGAGUUCGAGAGAGGUGAGUGGAAUUCCGAGUGUAGAGGUGAAAUUCGUAGAUAUUCGGAGGAACACCAGUGGCGAAGGCGGCUCACUGGCUCGAUACUGACGCUGAGGUGCGAAAGUGUGGGG
rnacentral:rRNA from 1 species